GAGCUACCGCCCCCAAACCCCCGCUUUGUCGAUAGUGGUAAACAACUGCGUACCGGUAGAGUGCAAUCUAGCCUAAAAAACAACAACAACACGCAAUGGAUCCGACGAUGAGCGGAAAGUGUUGAAUAAUUGUGAAUUAUGAGAAAGGUAGUUUACGAGCUAAGAUGCGACGCAUUGAAUCCUCCGUCUAAUGGUAAACGUUAAGAUGAUAACUACCAUAUCGGAUCCUAUGCAAUGUUUGCUUGCAACCCCGGUUACGACCUUCAAGGACCGAGCAGGCUAUUGUGCAGAGUGGACGGCGAAUGAAAUCCGCUGGAACCCCCACGGUAUUUAGAUACUAGUAUGAUAGAUGUUGAUGUACAGUCGAAUUAUAUACGGAUAACAACAAAGGGAAAGACCUUCCAGUUGUGUUUAGAACAGGAGGUGAACGCUGAUCCAAGCUCUUGUCAAAGAUCCCUUAUCACAGGACACUUGCUUGUUACCAUGCCAAAGGUUUGAUUUAUGUUGUUAACGAUAUUGUUAUCUUCUUAACUGUAAUACUUAAUCACGUUGUUUAAAUUUUGUUAGUAAUAUUAUAAAAAAGCAUUGCAGUCACAAUUAAUUGAUUUGCAUUAAGAAACA